UUGUGAAUGAAACAUCCCUAGCAUAAAAAGCAUGUAUGUAAAAAAGGAAAACAAAUGCCAAUAACGAGCAGAUGACAAUUUACAGGCCUGUCGCUUGAGGGAGAAAGUCGCAAAUUAUAAAUCCUACUUAAUUUCGGCAACCUCGGUCUAUAAAAGGUUCUACAAUGGUUUAUUAAAAUUAUGGCUAACAGCUAGCAUGAGCUGCAUUAAGCGCAAGAGGGAGGCUGUCAAACAAUCCACUAAUGCUGUGUUCACACCAAACGCGAAUAGAGCGUCAAAUUCGCGUCUACCGCGCUUAGUUUGUAUGGAACGCCGUUGGGGACAAUUCCUAUUAUAUACAACGCGUGAAAUUUGGACGCAUUAACACGCACAGUUUGUACGCGUAAAUACGAAGUAUAUGUUCGGGUGUCGCGUCAGACCGCACAACAGCCAAUAGCGUUGCUCUAUUUAGGAUUUAAUUUGCAUUUGUGAUGCGAUGGCACGUUGCUGUAUACAUAUAUAAACAUCAGACGACAUUUCUUUCCGUGAGGGAUGAUGUGCUGUUAGGUUUUUUGUCUCCGGUAACGUGGAAAAGUCGAUUGCUCUCUACGAUGGCUCUUAGAAAUUUUUUAUUAAACUGUCAAAGAACUUUUAUAGACUGCGUUCAGUUGGCAUUCUCUUAUAACACGGAGUAUGAUUUGAAUAUCAUCAUAACCAGAAUGCAGACAAUGGCCAGAAGUAUGACAUGGUCUAGAGUGUGACUACUUGGUCCAGAAACAGAAAAUAGUAUCCUGAAUAGUCUGUCUGAAUUCAUGGAUAUUCUGGAAACAUUGCCUCAACCGCAAGUUAUGCUCUAAAUAGUCAGAUUGACUGUAAUUUUAAUAUAAUGUUUUGUGUUAUAAUUCAUUUUAUUCUUCUGUCAACUUCCCCAGGCUUACAUUGCUCCAUUGGUGAGGGGUUUCUCUGGUCGACCACAAUAUUCCAUUACACAGGAGCAGUUAUGUGAAAUGAUUUGUUCAUGGCAGUACUAAAUUAAAACAAAUCUUCAAAAAUACACUUAUUUGUGUGAAAAAAUUUUUAUAUUCUGCAAGGUGUUUGUAAAGUUUUGACCACCAUAUCAUGCAAAAAUAUAUAAUAAACCCCACACAUUUAUUCUUGUUUUUAAUAUUCUCUUCAAAGCAAGCUAAAAGUUUUGAAGCUAAUGAGGGUGAAAGAUGUUUAUGGGCUGUUCAUCUGCUUUCUGAGUAAGUAGAAGGGUCUAUUUAAUGCCCCAUAACCACGACUUCAAUUGUUCCAUUAUACACAGCCUUGUCCACAUAUGUGCAUAUUAUAAUGGUUUCAUUGAACAAGCAUGAAAAGUUGAAACCCUUUUUAUUAAAGAUCUGUAAAAAAUGUGUAUAGUUUAAAACAUUU